rnacentral:rRNA from 1 species
CGGAGGGUGCAAGCGUUGUCCGGAUUUAUUGGGUUUAAAGGGUGCGUAGGCGGCUGAUUAAGUCAGCGGUGAAAUUCCACAGCUCAACUGUGGAACUGCCAUUGAUACUGGUUGGCUUGAGUACAGAUGAGGUAGGCGGAAUUGACAGUGUAGCGGUGAAAUGCUUAGAUAUUGUCAAGAACACCUAUUGCGAAGGCAGCUUACUAAGCUGUAACUGACGCUGAGGCACGAAAGCGUGGGGAUCAAACAGGAUUAGAUACCCUGGUAGUCCACGCUGUAAACGAUGAUUACUCGAUGUGUGCGAUAGACAGUACGCGUCCAAGCGAAAGCGUUAAGUAAUCCACCUGGGGAGUACGCCCGCAAGAGUG